UACGAAGGGGGCUAGCGUUGCUCGGAAUCACUGGGCGUAAAGCGCACGUAGGCGGAUCUUUAAGUCAGUGGUGAAAUCCCAAGGCUCAACCUUGGAACUGCCUUUGAUACUGGGGAUCUCGAGUCCGGAAGAGGUUGGUGGAACUGCGAGUGUAGAGGUGAAAUUCGUAGAUAUUCGCAAGAACACCAGUGGCGAAGGCGGCCAACUGGUCCGGUACUGACGCUGAGGUGCGAAAGCGUGGGGAGCAAACAGG
rnacentral:rRNA from 1 species